rnacentral:sRNA from 1 species
CACUAGCCCUGAUGGCAGCGGCAUCCUUUUGUGCCGGGGUUCGGGACAAAAGAUAUAGCGGACAGCAGGAAUUAGC